rnacentral:rRNA from 1 species
CCUACGGGAGGCAGCAGUGGGGAAUAUUGGGCAAUGGGCGCAAGCCUGACCCAGCAACGCCGCGUGAAGGAAGAAGGCUUUCGGGUUGUAAACCUCUUUUCUCAGGGACGAAGCAAGUGACGGUACCUGAGGAAUAAGCCACGGCUACCUACGUGCCAGCCGCCGCGGUAAUACGUAGGUGGCAAGCGUUAUCCGGAUGUACUGGGUGUAAAGGGCGUGUAGGCGGGACUGCAAGUCAGAUGUGAAAACCACGGGCUCAACCUGUGGACUGCAUUUGAAACUGGAGUUCUUGAGUACUGGAGAGGCAGGUGGAAUUCCUAGUGUAGCGGUGAAAUGCGUAGAUAUUAGGAGGAACACCAGUGGCGAAGGCGGUCUGCUGGACAGCAACUGACGCUGAGGCGCGAAAGCGUGGGGAGCAAACAGGAUUAGAUACCCGAGUAGUC